rnacentral:sRNA from 1 species
UAAUUGUUGAGGUUUGCAUUGCAACUAUUCGAAAAUGAAGUGGCUGUCAAUUGCAUUUGUGUUGGGUCUGUUGGCUUUUGCUAGUGCCGAUCCCUUAAGGGGUGGUGACGUCAUCAUUAACGGACAUUGUGUUAGCUGCAAUGUUCAUGGAGGCUAAGGACUGAAGAACUAAACUGAAGAAUGCCAAACAGCACACAAACUACACAUUAUUUAGAUUCCGUAAUUGAAAUGGAAACUUCUCAGAUGAGAUUCUAGAAGCAAUGAUUGCAGCCAAAUCGCAUUUGUCUUAUGCACAGUAAAUAUAUUAAAUACACAUUUAAUACAUUGAUCAAUCACUUGUUAUUCAUUAUCAAAUUCUAACACUGUAAAUACUGUAAACACUGACACUGAGUAUGUAACAGACCGUGACAGGUUGCACCGAAUUAUCUGUAAUUAUAUAUAUGAGGCACUUUGUAUAGUUAACAAUGAAAGUCGCAAUCUGAAA